rnacentral:tRNA from 2 species
GUAGAUAUAGUUUAACAAAAACAUUAGAUUGUGAUUCUAAAAAAGGAAGUUAAAACCCUCCUAUCCACC